AGAUUAAGUUAUUAAGGGCGCACGGUGGAUGCCUUGGCACUAGAAGCCGAUGAAGGACGUUACUAACAACGAUAUGCUUUGGGGAGCUGUAAGUAAGCUUUGAUCCAGAGAUUUCCGAAUGGGGAAACCCAGCAUGAGUUAUGUCAUGUUAUCGAUAUGUGAAUACAUAGCAUAUCAGAAGGCACACCCGGAGAACUGAAACAUCUUAGUACCCGGAGGAAGAGAAAGAAAAUUCGAUUCCCUUAGUAGCGGCGAGCGAAACGAGAAGAGCCCAAACCAACAAGCUUGCUUGUUGGGGUUGUAGGACACUCUAUACGGAGUUACAAAGGACGACAUUAGACGAAUCAUCUGGAAAGAUGAAUCAAAGAAGGUAAUAAUCCUGUAGUCGAAAAUGUUGUCUCUCUUGAGUGGAUCCUGAGUACGACGGAGCACGUGAAAUUCCGUCGGAAUCUGGGAGGACCAUCUCCUAAGGCUAAAUAC
rnacentral:rRNA from 1 species